CCCUUAGAUGUCCUGGGCUGCACGCGCGCUACACUGAUGUGUCCAGUAAGCACCUAACCUCUUCCGAAAGGAACGGGUAACCUUUGCAAAGCACAUCGUGAUGGGGAUAGAUUAUUGCAAUUAUUAGUCUUGAACGAGGAAUUCCUAGUAAGCACAAGUCAUCAGCUUGUGUUGAUUACGUCCCUGCCCUUUGUACACACUGCCCGUCGCUCAUACCGAUUGAAUGUUCCGGUGAGCUCUUCGGACUGCGCGGUCUGCAGUUUCUGCGUUCCGUGCGGAAAGUUGCGCAAACCUUAACAUUUAGAGGAAGGAGAAGUCGUAACA
rnacentral:rRNA from 1 species